GGAGGANGCAAGCGUUGUUCGGAAUCACUGGGCUUAAAGCGCGUGUAGGCGGGAUAUUUGGUGUCGUGUGAAAUCCCCGGUCUCAACCCGGGAACUGCGCGGCAUACCGGUAUUCUUGAGGCAAGCAGAGGUGACUGGAACGACGGGUGGAGCGGUGAAAUGCGUAGACAUCCGUUGGAACGCCGGCGACGAAGGUGAGUCACUGGGCUUGUCCUGACGCUGAGACGCGAAAGCGUGGGUAGCAAACAGGAUUAGAUACCCUGGUAGUCCACGCCGUAAACGAUGCGCACUAGGUAUGGGAGACUCUGACGUCGACCGUGCCGAAGCAAAAGUGCUAAGUGCGCCGCCUGGGGAGUACGGCCGCAAGGCUA
rnacentral:rRNA from 1 species